CAAAAAUACUAUAUUUUUUCUGUAAAAAGGGAAAAAUAGAAAAAAAAUA
rfam:Heterocephalus glaber contig223263, whole genome shotgun sequence.